UUUAUGAUACCUCAAGGAAAGCGUGACGGCUUGCGCAGGAAGCAGUGGCUGCAUGACAUUGGCGGAAAGAACUUUGUUCCGACAAAGAACAGCGUUGUUUGCGAGCUGAGGCGUCUUUCUGAUAGCUCGUAGCAAAGCAUCCCGUAAUGCUGCAUUUUUUUUUCAUUCUUCCGACCUGCUCACCAGCGUUUUUGUUGCAGUUGUCCUCAGUAUGCUUAAUAUUCUGGGGCGGCUCCAUCACCUCGCACGUCGCUAACUGUUGUUAUUUAUAUGGAAGUGGCAUUAUAGAUUCUGCUUUCCGCCCUGAAAAAAUUAGUGGCAAGUAUACCCGCGGUAUUGCAGGUGAUGAGCGCUAGCUAGUCAACAUUGAGUUUUUUUGAAGUGUUUAGGCGAAAGCCUUUAGAUCUCUGUUUCAAGGUCGCGUUGUAAACUGGAAGUAUCACGUGACCCAAGGAAGGCCAGAGGUGACCCAAAGCAUGUCCACCCCUGUAUAAGAGAAUGAUUACCCAAGUUAAUUAAUUAAUCAUAGUUAUUGACAUAAGGUGGAUUAGGGAGGAUUAAGGUUGAUUAGAGUAUUAAAGUAGAUUAAGGUGGAUUAGAGUGCAUUAAGAAGGAUUAAAAUGCAUGAAUAAAGAUUAAGGUGGGUGGAGGAGGAUUAAGGCGGAUUAAGGUGAAGGGUUGAUGAAAGGGUAUUAAGACAGAUUAGGGUGCAUGAACAAGGAUUAGGGAGGAUUAAGGUGGAUAAAGGUAGAUUAAUGUGGAUUAAGGUGAAUUAGGGUUGAUAAAGGGGGAUUAAGACCGAUUAGGGUGGAUUAGGGAGCAUGGAGCUGGAUUAGGUUUGAUAGAGGUGGAUUAGGGUGUGUUAAGGUAGAUUGGGACUAUUAAGUUGGAUUAAGGUGCAUGAAUAAGGAUUAAGGUGGAUGAAGGAGGAAUAUGAUGGAUUAAGGUUGAUAAAGGCGGAUUAGGACCGUAUAGGUUAGGCUAAGGUGCAUUAGGGGCGAUGUAGGUUGAUUAGGUUGUAUUAAGGUGGAUCGGGAGUAUUAAGGUGGAUGAAAGAGCAUUAAGGUGGAUUAGGGUGGACUAAGGUGAAUUAGGGUUCAUUGAGUAUUAAGACCGAUUAGUAUACCAUAAUCCUCCUAAUGCACAUUAAUCCACAUUCAUCGACCUUAAUCCUCCUUCAUUCACUUUAAUCCACCAUAAUCCACGAAAGUCCUCCGUAAUGCACCCUAAUCCACGUUCAUCGACUUUAAUCUACUCUAACCCUCCUUAAUGCACUUUAAUCCUCCUUAAUGAACCCUAAUUCACUACAAUCGUCCUUAAUCCACCCGAAUCCACAUUCAUCUACCUUAGUCCACCCUAAUCCUCCUUCAUUCACUUUAAUUCACUCUAGCCGACCAUAAUACUCCUUAAUGCACCUUAAUCCUUCUUAAUCCACCAUUGUCCUUCAUGCACUUUAAUCCACUAUAAUCGUCCUUAAUGCACCUCAACGCACCUUCAUCCACCCUAAUCCACCUUCAUCGACCUUAACCCAACCUCCUUCAUGCACCUUCAUUCACCCUAAUGCACCUUCAUCGACUUUAAUCCUCCUUAAUACACCCGAAUUCAUCUUAAUCCAAUCACUAAUCAAUCAUUACUUUGCUAAUCAUCUCUUAUGCGCGGCUGCAUAUGCUUUGGUUCGCUUCCCGCCUUCCUUCGGUCACGUGAUAUUUUCUGUAGCUCACAACGGGGUCUUGAAACGGAGGUCUAAGGCUUUCGCUUAAUAAGCCACACACAAAGGGAUGUGUCACAAGCAAUACUAGAUCAGACGCACGAAGUAAAGCAUCUGAUCAUGUGGCAGAAAAAUUGUCUGGAGUAUAGAAUUCGCCUCAAAGCUCCCUUUACAUCGGUAUACCCCGUUCAUACGGCUUUAAGAAAAAACCAACCUCCUCAUAAACGUUGCCUCCAGCAUUAUCGAUGCUGUUAUUAGCAUUUCUCAAAAUUUUCAACCCCACUGGGGCGCGCAACUGGCCGAAAAUUGGCGGCGAGGAGUUACGGAGUCGCCAUCUAUCGGAAGCGCCUCGCUGGCGUAGUAUGAGGGAUCACGCGGCGCGCUCCUCAUAGGUUUUGCUGUCAGCACUCACCGAAAACACCACGCGCGAGCUCUCCCGGACAUCUCUGUAAGUACUUUCGAAACGAGAUAAGUUUUUUUUACUGUCUAAAUAAUAAUCUUGGGGCAAACUGAAAGCACAGAAUCGUUUACAGGCGCUUCUCUUUACCGAAUACGUACAGUGAACGCCACUGCGCGAGGUCGCCGCGGUGGAGUCUCCCGAACCGGCUUCUUGCGUGAAAGGCAAACAUGGACACAUCACAUUCGAUGGCCGCGAACUCUCGCUGUCAAAUCGCUCACGUGAUGCAUAGCGGCAGCAGCGGCGAACGAAUUCCCCUUUGUGCUGACCCUAACUUCAACGAGGACCAGGUGCACGUGAACUCAGCGCACACGAAGCCAUCAGCUAUCUCGGGUCGGCUAGCCUUCGAACCCUGCGCAAAGUACCUCCAAGGUUUUCCUUUCUGCUGUCACACGCGUGCUGCUGCCUGCGAUGGUGAUGUCAGCGAGCGUCGUGAGGGAACCGCCAGAUCUGCGCACCGGGAUUGACGUGACUAGCUGGCGCAUACGCGCCGACAGUCAUUCCGCCUCUCCAAACGCGCCACCACCUCAAAACUGGAUGCUUGAGCAAUUGCCGAGAGCCCUGCUGUCAUCGACAACAAUUGCAGAGCCAGCUAUAAAGGAACCACGGCCAUCACCCGCGCUCUGUGGGCUUGGUGGCUGUGCCACAACACACACCAGUAACCCACUUCUAUUCAUCAUGCAGAUCAUCCAACGUUCACCCAACCAUUCACCCAAGCGGCGUCACGUACCCGUCCUGCCUGCACCGCUGGAGCGCGCGUGUCUGACCUGUUCAACGAAUCUGGUCUAUCCGUGGCUACUGCGCAUGCGUGACCAACAUCACCUGCAGACCAUCGCCUUGAGAUAGUCUGUCUGCUGAUACGAAAGGGCUUCAAAAAGUGGUGCUGGCGUCUGUCCGGCUUCAUGUGGCAGCAGCACUUGCGGCUGGAGGAAUGCAAGCGUAAACGAGCUUUCUUACCUUUGCAGGUUGGUGGCGUUUUUUUUUGUUUUUCUUUUGCCACAUAUUCAUUGCUAGAUUGCCGCAACUGCUGCUGCCAGUGUUUUAACCUGUCUCAGUGUUACCUUGUAUCUCUUAAGAUGCCAAUUGUUGCUGAACUAGGUAAGAGAAUUCAGCUGAUUGAGGCCUGGUCUCAACUCGAAGAAGUAGUUGAAAAAACUGGUUGAGAAAACGAAACAGAGAAUUUCAUCAACUGAGCCUGUAAUUCGUGCAAUGAAGGCCGAAAUCAGCAGCUUGGUCUCAAGUGUCGAAAUGCUGAAUUGUCUUGUCGAGAAUGUGAAGUCAGAGAAUGAGCGCCUAAGAACUGUUAAUGAAACUGUGCAAUCACAGAAUGAAACCUUAACAGCUAAAGUGUCGGAACUUGACCAGUACUCUCGGCUAAACAACGUUGAAUUGAAGAACAUCCCGUGUACACAGGGAGAGGACUGCGCGGCAAUUAUAAAAGCUGUAGGGGCAAAAAUUGAUUGUCCCAUCACGGAUAGUGACAUUUACGUCGUUCAUCAAGUUCCAGGGGAGGUUGGAAAAGCCGAGAAAAAUGUCAUUGCCCGCUUCUGCUCACGAGCUAAGAAGCAAGAUUUCGUCGCUAAGGUACAAAAGCCUAGACUGAACAUUAAUGACCUCGGCUUUGGUGGAUCGCAAAGUCGCCCUGUUUAUGUAAACGACCACCUGACGCCGAAAAAAAAAAGGCUGUUCGCUAAAGCGUUGAAGUUAAAGCGGGAACGUGGAUGGAUGUAUCUGUGGACGGAUAAUUGCCAUAUCAAGACGAGAAAGUCGGCUGACAGCCGAGUAUUCCGCAUCUCAAAGGACACAGACCUUUCUGUGUUUAGUCAGGCGACCUAGUUGAUCUCUGGCAAUCAACUAUUGCAAGAUAAACUUCAUAACACUUUAACAUGCAUUACUCGACAAAACGUCUUCAACGUUUUUUUCAAGGCCCACGUUUAUCGGCUAUCCACUUUAAUGCACGCAGUCUCAGAAAACAUUGUGACGACAUUCAUGCUUACCUAGCAUCCCUUGACCACCACUUUUCCUUCAUCUGUGUGUCUGAGACGUGGCAGUCACCCGACGAUAAAAACAUAUGCUGUUUACCACAUUACACACCAGAGUACUGUCACCGACAAUCAAACAGUCAUGGUGGUUCUGCUAUUUUUGUACCAUCUUCUAUAAAAUACAAACGUCGGAAUGACCUCUCCCUCCUAGCUGAAAAACCCCUGAAUCUGUUUGGAUUGAAAUUGAUGACCAACAUACACAAUCUGAUGCUGAAAAAAUAAUCUUAGCUUGCAUAUGUCGCUCACCAUCAUCGUCAGUCUCAGACUUCUGCUCUGCACUAUACGAAAGCCUAGACAAGAUAUCUUGCGAAAGAAAAAAGCAUUGUUAUUAUGGGAGAUAUAAACAUUAACCUUCUGGAUGAAUCCAAUCAUAACACGGUUGAAUACUCGAAUUGCUUUGCAGGCUUUGGUUAUUAACAGCUGCUUACAGUGCCGACAAGAUGUAUCACAGGCGGCUCAAGCACGCUUAUUGACCAUAUUUUUUUAACUACAUAUAAUGUGAUGAGUGUGGCGUAAUAAGAGUCGACAUUACAGACCACUAUCCCAUCUUCUGUCGCUUGUCUCAUGCCUCAUCACGCGCUGAGCGUUCUUUCCAAAAGUCCUUGUUUAACAAGGGUUUAACAAAGUUCCAUUUCAUAGAUUUCAUCUCUUCUUUUGACUGGUUGACUAUAAAAUCUGAAUCAAACGCUGAGCUAGCUUUUGUACGCUUUUCAUCUGUAAUACAGCAAUGUGUCCAUGAUGCAACCACUUUUGUUAGAUGUAACAAGAAGUAUCCAGCACCCCAUAACCCGUGGCUCAGAGAUGGUUUGCUUGUGUGCAUGCGCAAGAAAGAGAAUAUGUACAAAAAAACUAAACGUUGCCCAUUUAACUUCACAUUGCAGAAGCGAUAUGCUUGCUACAAAAAUGUCCUAAACAAAUUGUUGAAAGAUGCCAGAAAGAAGUACUAUGACAUUAAAAUUAAUGAAGCUGAAGGUAUCACUAAACAGUGGAAGCUCAUGAACUCUUUUUUGAACACAAACUCAAAAGACUCACCAAUAAGUGAGAUUUCAAGCUCUAGUGGUACGUAUCGAAAUCCAUCAGACAUCGCAAAUAAAUUUAAUACUUUCUUUUCCAAUAAUAAUACGCCCCUUCCUACCAGUCCUAUAACAACAUCCCAGAGACAACCACAAUCUUUUUUUUUAUAUCCCACCAUUCAGGAUGAAAUAUACAAUGUCAUACAGCAACUAAAGCCAACAAGUGCAGGUCUUGAUGAAAUACAACCAGUGCACUUAAAAUAUGUUGCUGAUAUCGUUGCUGACCCGUUUUCUUAUGUUAUUAACCUUUUAUUUAAAUGCAGUGUAUUUCCAUCUAAACUUAAGAAAGCCAAAAGAGUCCCUGCAUUUAAAAAAGGGUGAUAAGGGGUUGAUUUUUAACUAUCCCCCUGUUGCUAUAUUAUCCGUGUUCAGCAAAAUUUAGAGAAAUGUUUUGAAAAGCGUCUAACUAAGUCUCUAACAAAAUUUGACAUUCUUUGCACCACGCUGUUUGGCUUUCGUGCAAGUUACUCUACUAAUCUUGCGCUUCUUUCAUUCACUGAUCAUAUUGAGCACCACAUUGACGAAGGUAAAUAUGCUGGAGCAGUGUUUAUUGACCUCGCCAAAACGUUUGAUUAAAUUCUUCAUAAUAUUUUAAUUACUAAGUUAAACGCAAUCGGUGUAGUAGGACCGGCGCUGGCUUUUGCUCACGAUUAUUUAACUAACAGACAACAGGCUGUUAGCAUUUCUAAUCACCUUUCUAACUUCAAAUUAAUUGAUAGGGGAGUUCCUCAGGGGUCUAUAUUAGGCACAUUACUCUUCACUAUCUACAUUAAUGACCUAACUGCUCAUCUUUCGCAUUGUGAACCUUAUCUCUGUGCGGACGACACUACGAUUCUAACUGCUGACACCUGUAUUAAUAGCCUAACUUCUAAGCUCAAUACCGAUAUGGAAAAUAUUAUUCGCUGGUGUCGUUGUAACUCUUUAGAAAUUAACCCUAGUAAAACAGUCUUCAUGCUAUUUCACCCCACUCAAAAGAAAGUAAUAAAUAUUCCGACCAUAGCUAUCGAUAGUUAUUCCAUCAAACCUUCUAGUCAUUGUCGUUUUUUUUGGGGUUGUCCUCGAUUACAACUUAAAGUGCAUUACCCAUAUUUCACAUCUAAAGCAAAAAAUUGGAUAUGGUAUCUGGAUUCUUAUAAAAGCACGUCCACACUUUAGUCUACCAACCUUGCUUUCUCUUAAUCAUGAAUUCAUUCACAGUCACUUCACCUACUGCACUGCGACUUGGGGCAACACAUAUAGCUUUCAUCUUGUUCCUUUACAAUAUGUGUCACCCCGAUGUAAUGUAUCUGCUCUUUUGCAAGAGUAUCGCAUUCUCACAAUUCAUAAACUAUUUCAAUUAAACAUGGCAAUCCUUGUCUACAAUUCCCUUCACUCAAACAUUCCCCAAAUAAUCUUUAACACUCAACAACUUGCUAAUCAGAAUAAAACUCGAUUUGCAUUAGCUAACAACUUCUUAUUACCUAAAAUCAGAACUGAUUUGGUAAAUCCACUUCUGCGUUCACAGCGAUGUCUUUCUGGAACUGUAUUCGAACGGACAUAAAGCUGUCUCCUAGUAUAGGCAGCUUUAAAAAGCAUUUAUUCUCAUAUUUACUUAACUUGUGAAUGAUGUGAUGUAAUUUAACAUGUUCUGUUUGCUUCAUUAUGUGUAAAUCAUUAUAUCUCUAACAUUUCACCAUAUCUCAGUCCACUUGUUUCCUUGUGUCAGUACUUGUUAAAGAUGUAGCCUCUUGGCUACAUUUCACUUCCUCUGAUUUGUUUUGUUUUUAAUUCAGUACAAGAUGUAAUUCUGUACAGCGUUAUGCCAUGCUUUCAGUUUACGUGUUUUCUCGCAUUAAUACAUGUUAACAAAUCUACCUUCUCGCUGUAUUUGCAUUAACCUGAAUUGUUUUGUUAUUUUUUAUUUGUUUAAAACGCAAUUCUGUAUACUAUUAUAUAAUGAUUCAGUUCUUUUGCUGUCGUGUGUAAUUAUUUGUAGACAACUUUACAACUUUGCUGCAUUCGCUCUAACCUAAUUUGUUUUGUUCUUUCUAAUUAGAACAGGAGGUCCCCUUACAGCCUUGAGCUUUGGGAGCUCCUUCUGUAUAUCUUGUUAUUGUGCUUUUAUUUUCGUGAGUGAAUAAAUAAAAUUAUUCUUCAAUAAACUUGCCGAUGAUGGCGAUU